GGUCCUGCCUGCCCUGUGACCCCUGGUUUAACGGCCGCGGUAUUUUGACCGUGCAAAGGUAGCGCAAUCACUUGUCUCUUAAAUGAGGACCUGUAUGAAUGGCACAACGAGGGCUUAACUGUCUCCUUUCCCCGGUCAGUGAAAUUGAUCUUCCCGUGCAGAAGCGGGAAUCCUAACAUAAGACGAGAAGACCCUAUGGAGCUUUAGACUCCCGAACAGAUCAUGUAAGCUACCCUCAUGAAAUAGGUAAUAACUAUUGAAUUUCUGUUCCCCUGUCUUUGGUUGGGGCGACCACGGGGAAGAAAAAAACCCCCAUGUGGACCAGGAGCACAUACUCCUACAACCAUGAGCCACAGCUCUAAUGCACAAAACUUUUGACCAUUAGAUCCGGCAAAGCCGAUCAACGGACCAAGUUACCCUAGGGAUAACAGCGCAAUCCCCUUUAAGAGUCCAUAUCGACAAGGGGGUUUACGACCUCGAUGUUGGAUCAAGACAUCCUAAUGGUGCAGCCGCUAUUAAGGGUUCGUUUGUUCAACGAUUAAAGUCUU
rnacentral:rRNA from 1 species